rnacentral:rRNA from 1 species
UACGGAGGGUGCAAGCGUUAUCCGGAUUCACUGGGUUUAAAGGGUGCGUAGGAGGGUAGGUAAGUCAGUGGUGAAAUCUUCGAGCUUAACUCGGAAACUGCCGUUGAUACUAUCUAUCUUGAACACCGUGGAGGUGAGCGGAAUAUGUCAUGUAGCGGUGAAAUGCUUAGAUAUGACAUAGAACACCAAUUGCGAAGGCAGCUCGCUACACGAAUAUUGACUCUGAGGCACGAAAGCGUGGGGAUCAAACAGG